rnacentral:rRNA from 1 species
GCCGUACCAUGCUGAAUAUACAGGUUCUCGUUAGAUCACCGAAGUCAAGCAUCAUUGGGCGCGGUCAGUACUUGGGUGGGUGACCACCUGGGAACACUGCGUGCCGUU